GUAUUUGCUUCGGCAAUACAUGUACUAAAAUUGGGACGAUACAGAAGUUUAGCAUGGCCCCUGCACAGGGAUGACAUUCAAAUUUAUGAAGCAUUCCAUAUUUAA
rfam:Octopus bimaculoides Scaffold127606_contig_36, whole genome shotgun sequence.